rnacentral:rRNA from 1 species
AGGUUAAGUUAGAAAGGGCGCACGGUGAAUGCCUUGGCACUAGGAGCCGAUGAAGGACGGGACUAACACCGAUAUGCUUUGGGGAGCUGUACGUAAGCUUUGAUCCAGAGAUUUCCGAAUGGGGAAACCUACUAUGCUUGAUCGCAUAGUGUCUUCAACUGAAUACAUAGGUUGUUGACGGCAGACGCAGGGAACUGAAACAUCUUAUUACCUGCAGGAAGAGAAAGAAAAA